rnacentral:rRNA from 1 species
ACGGGGCAAUUGCUCAGUACGGCGAGUGAAGCGGCAAAAGCUCAAAUUUGAAAUCUGGCACCUUCGGUGUCCGAGUUGUAAUUUGAAGAAGGUAACUUUGGAGUUGGCUCUUGUCUAUGUUCCUUGGAACAGGACGUCACAGAGGGUGAGAAUCCCGUGCGAUGAGAUGUCCAAUUCUAUGUAAAGUGCUUUCGAAGAGUCGAGUUGUUUGGGAAUGCAGCUCUAAGUGGGUGGUAAAUUCCAUCUAAAGCUAAAUAUUGGCGAGAGACCGAUAGCGAACAAGUACAGUGAUGGAAAGAUGAAAAGAACUUUGAAAAGAGAGUGAAAAAGUACGUGAAAUUGUUGAAAGGGAAGGGCUUGAGAUCAGACUUGGUAUUUUGCAAGCUUUACCUUCGUGGUGGAGUCCCCUGCAGUUUACUGGGCCAGCAUCGGUUUGGAUGGUAGGAUAAUGACUUGGGAAUGUGGCUUUGCUUCGGUAAAGUGUUAUAGCCCUUGUUGAUACUACCUGUCUAGACCGAGGACUGCGUCUUUGACUAGGAUGUUGGCAUAAUGAUCUUAAGUCGCCCGUCUUAAAMMMMMGRAMMAAAA